UGGCGGACGGGUGAGUAACGCGUGGGGAACCUGCCCUGUACCGGGGGAUAGCAGCCGGAAACGGCUGAUAAUACCGCAUAAGCGCACGAAUGUCGCAUGACAUGGUGUGAAAAACUCCGGUGGUAUAGGAUGGACCCGCGUCUGAUUAGCCGGUUGGUGGGGUAAAAGCCUACCAAAGCGAAGAUCAGUAGCCGAGUUGAGAGACUGACCGGUCACAUUGGGACUGAGACACGGCCCAGACUCCUACGGGAGGCAGCAGCC
rnacentral:rRNA from 1 species